rnacentral:misc_RNA from 1 species
GAUGAAGAACGCAGCGAAAUGCGAUAAGUAAUGUGAAUUGCAGAAUUCGGUGAAUCAUCGAAUCUUUGAACGCACCUUGCACCCUUUGGACUGCUCCAAAGGGUAUGCUCGUUUGAGUGUCAUUGUACUCUCACACUCUCUGAUCCUUUGGAUUUGGGGAGCAGUGGACUUGGGUGCUUGCUGCUUCCUUGUGGCUCACCUGAAAUGCAUCAGUGCAUCUCUCGAUUGGACAUAGUACGGCGUGAUAAGUGUCUUCGCCGGCACCUCAUAUGAGGGUGGCCGAUCGGGAGCUCUGUGCUUUCAAACCGUCUUCGGACAACGCUGACAACUUGACCUCAAAUCGAGUAGGACUACCCGCUGAACUUAAGCAUAUCAAUAAGCGGAGGA